UAUGAAUGAUAAAUACAUCUAAGUAUUUCCCAACUUUUUGUCAAAAUACAUAUUUAUGUUAUGUAUUUUUGCAUAAACUGUUGUGCUCGUCACCUAUCCAAGGUGGAUACAGGACCGCCAAGGUUCUUAGCCUCCUAGAUUUUCUCUUCUUUCUUUUUUCUUUUUCUCAAAAGGGAAAGGAAUACCCCGCAUGCAAGUCUUAUGGGAGAGGGUGACGACAAGGACACCUACAAACGCGACGACAACCACCUUGCGGCAAGGGAACACCGAAAGAAAAGGCUAAGUAAAAAUUUCUCAAAAAUUUCACGCAACCCGGUUAGCACUCGUGUGAAGAGACCUGCACGCGGAGGGUGAAAGGACAUGAAUGUUGCCUAGAGGGGGGUGAAUAGGCGCUUUAAAAUAAUUACAAUUUAGGCUUAAACAAAUACGGAAUAAAACUAAAGUUUAAUUAGUCAAGCACAAAACCUAAAACAACUAGGCUCACCUACGUAAACCAACAACUUACGCUAACCAAAAUAAACAACUAAUCCCUCCAUACCACAAUACUUGUUGUUAGAGAGAACUAGUCUAGUUCUCCCCAACAAGAGGAACAGAGGAAGUAGGUGAUAUCAAGAUAUAUAACAAGAAACAAUAUAGCUAUCACAAAGUAAAGUGCA
rnacentral:lncRNA from 1 species